ensembl:lncRNA
CACACGUCAUCUGUGUUUAUGAAGAGGGUUAAAGAAUGGGAGAAACGGCCGCUGCUCAGAGCUGCAUUGGAGUUGGAGGACGUUUCAGCUGCGGCUUGCAGACAAAGCGAUCGCGUUUCUCCGAGUCGCGAGCUGCUCCCUCCCUUUUUUCUAGAGACGCGGGAAUCUCGAGCCAUCGGAACGUGCAGGAGGAGCGGGAGGAAACGUGUCUGAGGCCGGCGGACGUGGUUUGGGGAGCGCCUCCGCUCAGCGGGCUCCUGCAGUGACGGUAUUGGUUGUGACACCAGCAACUGGCCCCAACGUUGGAAACAUUUUCCAAAAAGUUGGUUCAUGGAGACGGUCCCGGAGCCGAGACGUCAGGAUUCUCCUACCGUUGGGUUUGCAUUGGAACGGGAGAUGUUGAUCUACGCUUGGAGCAGCUCGAUAGUCUCACGCUGUUUAUUGUUACAAUCCCUCUGCAC